rnacentral:rRNA from 1 species
GGUUAAGCGACUAAGCGUACACGGUGGAUGCCCUGGCAGUCAGAGGCGAUGAAGGACGUGCUAAUCUGCGAUAAGCGUCGGUAAGGUGAUAUGAACCGUUAUAACCGGCGAUUUCCGAAUGGGGAAACCCAGUGUGAUUCGUCACACUAUCAUUAACUGAAUCCAUAGGUUAAUGAGGCGAACCGGGGGAACUGAAACAUCUAAGUACCCCGAGGAAAAGAAAUCAACCGAGAUUCCCCCAGUAGCGGCGAGCGAA